ensembl:lncRNA
GAAGGUCUGUAAACUAGGCCCUGAAGGUUUUACUCCAAAACCUGGGAAGAACCGUGUCCAGUCUCUCUGUGCAUUUGCACAGCCUGUACCUUCACACAUAAGCAAAGCACUGUGGAAGGCUUUAAGCCUCAUGCAUGCAGAUGAAAUCACAGCUGCUGUCAAAAAUGAUAGCUGCAUCAUUCAGUUGGGGGAACAUUUGUUGAACAAAGGUGGAUCAACUGCAAAACAUGAAGCAUGCGUACGACAGAAGUUGCGAGAACUAGGAAAACUACUUAUCACUGGCAGAAACGUUGCAUCUCUAAAGACAAUGGAAGAUUUUAUACAUCCUCAAAACUACAUGAAGAUGGUUCAAGCUGUCAGACAUACAUGUGGAUAUGAUAGUGAAGCCAACACAUACAAAACUCCUUCUCUAGCAAAAAAACUUGGAAUAAGCCUGAUGAAGCUCAGCAAACUCAUGAAAGCUAAAGCUUUGAUUGCGAAAGACCACUGCUUGGCACAGAAUUUCAGUAACUUCCAAGAAAUACAUAAAGAACGGUGGUGUGAACUGAUCUCUGCAACAGCAGCACGAAAUCUUGAGGAGUCAAAGUGGAAUGCCCCCACAGUGUUGCCUUUUACAGAAGAUGUGCAAAAACUUCAUGCAUUUCUCAAUAAAAUGCAAGAGGAGUUGAUCAAGCAGUUAUCAGCGGAGCCCACAUCAAAAUACUGGUCUGAGCUUGCAAAGGUCGCUUUGACUCAAAUCAUCCUCUUUAACCGUCGUAGAGAGGGAGAGGUAUCGUGUAUGCUCCUGUCUGCUUUCUUAUCCAGGGACAGCAGUGAUCCACAUGAUGAUAUAGAUUGGGCCCUCUCUGAAGUUGAGAAAAAACUCUGCAGGCACUUUUCCAGAAUUGUGAUCAGAGGAAAAAGAGGACGUCCAGUUCCCAUUCUGCUGACCCCUAAAAUGCUGAAUGCAGUAGAGUUGCUUGUGAAGAACAGGGAGACUUGUGGAGUGCUGAAAGACAAUGUUUAUCUCUUUGCCCGGCCAUCAGCAAUGUCACAUUACAGAGGAUCAGAUUGUAUCCGCAGCUUUGCGAAGUCUUGUAAUGCAAAUAGUCCUGAUGCACUGACAUCCACAAAACUGCGAAAACAUGCUGCCACUCUUUCUACAGUUCUAAACUUGAAGGACACAGACAUGGAUCAGUUAGCAAACUUCCUGGGACAUGACAUCAGAAUUCAUAGGGAGUACUAUCGCCUUCCUGAAAAGACCCUCCAACUUGCAAAAGUCAGCAAAGUUCUUAUGGCAUUAGAACAAGGGAGACUUGCGGACUUCAAGGGCAAGAAUUUGGAUGAGAUCAAUAUUG